GACUAUUGAUUUCUAUGUUAAAAUUAUAGAUCUGUUGAUGGCAGUUAGCACACCAAUUUGUGAACUGCAAGCGCACCGAUCAUCGUAGCUUUUCCCUUAGAGUAUUGCAUCCAAGGUUUAUCAAUCCAUGGAUCAGCAGCGAACUGACUAAGAUUUUCCAUCUAAUCUAAUGGAUCUAAUCCUAUCAUGAAGCAUAGAUUGCAUAUGAAGGGUAACCUUGAUGUAAAGAUUGAUAUCAUGAACAAGGGUAGAUCACAUCCAUAGAUAUAUAUGAUAUAACACCACCAAGGAUAGCAAGAGCCUAUCAUCUUCUCGUUGUAGUUCUAGCCAAAGCGGUAACCAUCCUAUGCAGCAUCUCGAUAAAGAGGCAUCUCUCAGAACGGUGGCUCGCAAGCGGCCUACUUUCUCAUAGACCCCACUGUGAGGUGCGUGUUGACGUCUCCAGUUUUCCAAAACUUUACCUCAAACAACUCCCACAAUACUCGCCAUCAGUCCUACUCAACAUUACGCAAUCGUUCAGUCUUUUCCCUCCCACAUGCUGCCACCACGCAAGGGUAAUCACAC
rnacentral:lncRNA from 1 species